rnacentral:lncRNA from 1 species
GUGUCCCUAUGUGUCCCUAUGUGUCCCUACGUGUCUCCAUGGCAUCCCUAUGUGUCUCCAUGGUGUCCCUACGGGUCCCUAUGUGUCCCUAUGUGUCCCUAUGUGUCUGUAUGGGUCCCUAUGUGUCCCUGUGUGUCCCUAUGGGUCCCUAUGGGUCUCUGUGGGUCGCUAUGGGUCGCACUGUGUCGGUGUGUGUCCCUAUGUGUCUCUAUGUGUCUCAGUGUGUCCCUAUGGGUCCCUAUGUGUCUCUAUGGGUCCCUAUGGGUCCCUAUGUGUCCCUAUGUGUCCCUAUGUGUCUCUAUGUGUCUCAGUGUGUCUCUAUGUGUCCCUAUGUGUCCCUAUGUGUCUCCAUGGCAUCCCUAUGUGUCUCCAUGGCAUCCCUAUGUGUCCCUAUGUGUCCCUAUGUGUCUCCAUGGGGUCCCUAUGAGUCGCUAUGGGUCGCUAUGGGUCGCAAUGUGUCCCCAUGUGUCAGUAGGUGUCCCCAUGGGUGGCUGUGUGUCUCUAUGUGUCUCAGUGUGUCUCCAUGUGUCUCUAUGUGUCUCUAUGUGUCCCUACGUGUCUCUAUGUGUCCCUAUGUGUCUCCUUGGGGUCCCUAUGGGUCGCUAUGGGUCCCUAUGUGUCCCUAUGGGUCCCUAUGUGUCUGUAUGUGUCCCUACGUGUCCCUAUGGGUCCCUAUGGGUCUCUGUGUGUCUCUAUGGGUCCCUAUGUGUCCCUAUGUGUCUGUAUGUGUCUGUAUGGCUCUCUAUGUAUCCCUAUGGGUCUCUAUGGGUCUCUAUGGAUCUCUAUGGGUCACAGUGGCUCUCUACGUUUCUCUAUGGUUCUCUAUGUGUCCCUAUGUGUCCCUAUGUGUCCCUAUGGGUCCCUAUGUGUCCCUAUGUGUCUCUAUGGGUCUCUGUGUGUCUCUAUGGGUCCCUAUGUGUCCCUAUGUGUCUCCAUGGCAUCCCUAUGUGUCUCCAUGGCAUCCCUAUGGGUCCCUAUGUGUCGCUAUGUGUCCCUAUGUG